AUGAUAGACAAGUCGAUUUUUCUCUUAAUACAAAUUUUUAAAUGUAAUACUGUAUAUAUGUAUUGGCCUCUAGCUGCUUUGAGAUCACACACACAAACUAGUCAUAGGCAUAAUAUUUUUUUAUGGUUACAGAUAGAAAAGUGCCCUCUACUCUCAAAGGGACAGGCCACUCUUUGGAGCACUCUUCAUACAUGCUCAUGUGGAUUUCAUAAGGGUCAUCCUCCAAAAGUGGAUGCCAUCCCUGGCCAGGGCAUGCCCUCCACCUCCAGGAGCAGCAAGCUAUCUGCUACACCCACUCCAUCUUCCUCCAAGAGCAGUCCAGCAGAUACUCCCACACCCUCCACCCCCAGGAACAGUGAGCUGUCUGCUCCACCCACACCAUCUUCCUCCAGGAGCAGUCCGGCAGAUACUCCCACACCCUCCACCCCCAGGAACAGUGACCUGUCCAGCAGUCCUGCCAAAAGACCCAGACUGACAUUAUCCAUGGUUAGUAGCAUGUUAUUACAUACAUACAUACAUACAUAUAUUUCUGCUUUAGCGGUGCAGGUUUUAGACCCAUAAAUUUCACAUAAGGUUGACAAUGACCAACCCUUUGUUAACAGUUUGAAAAGCAUAGAUUUGGGGGCUCACAUGUGGCCAAACCAAAUUUGUCUGUGCAGAGGAAAAUCCCUCAGGUAAUAAUCUAACUGUAUUAAAUUGAAAAAGAAAUACAUGUAAAUUAAAUAGACAUAAGUAUACAACUUUAUUUCAUUAAAAUUCUACACAGUAAUAUGUGACGCGUUCCAUCAAAAUGAGUCGGAUGUCGCAGCGGCCCGUUUGUGUAGAAACACGUUUUUACAAGAAAAUACAAUUUUGGGCUAUUUUCAGUUUUUACAUGUUUCUAAUUAAAUAAAGUCUCAGCUUUCAUACCAUGUCAAAAUUAAUGUAAAAUACAAAGGAUAAAUAUAGCUAGCAUAAAUAAAACGAAACAGGUGUCAGAGUUCAAAACACUGGCUAGCGUGUUUGUGUCAUCUGCGUCAUCUGUCAACUGUCAGUUUAGAUCGACACGGAGACAGAUUGACAGAUUGACAGCCUAGACAAAAUUAAUUUUCGCGACGACGAAAUUGCUCGACUUUUAAAUUCAAUUCCUGUAAGACAUGCUACUUCAGACGCCAACUGGAUCGACCUUAUUACGGACUUUUUCACCGCACCGGCAGCUGAGAGUGAGAGUGACAGCGGCGGCUCGACCUCCGGUAUUUCGCGCUACCGACACCGGCCGGCUCCGAUCGUGAUGGCGAAGAAAGUGAGUGUGACGGAGGCCAGGAGGAAGAUAUUCCACUCGUGGCUGACCCGAUGGUAGCAUACAAUGUCUCUGAUUAUAAUGAUGUAAAGCAGUAAAGCAGUAAAGUUUAUUUAUUUGAAUAUAAACUGUCCAAAAUGUCUUUCAAUUCAUUUGGAAUAUGGCGGAAUGUUGAUUGCUAUCUUUAGAGCGCUUUUUCUCAAAAACAAGGUUUGGUGACAGUCGACCUUUGGAAGAGCGUGUCUCAUACAAUUUUUGGAGUAGAAAAAUAAUUUUGGUAUCGCCAUAAAGCUGAGACUUUCCUCUUUACAGCCAUGAAGAAAACUCAAAAUGUGUUUCUGGGUCAAAGUGACUCAAAAUGAUGGAGCAGGUCACAAAUGUCAUACAACAUAAAAUAAAUUUAAAAAAAGCCCUUUUUGAAAAGUGGGAUUUUAAAAUUCAUUCAA
rnacentral:lncRNA from 15 species